UCGACAUUAACUUUCUGGAUAAUCACCGGGCUCGUUUCUCUCUCUCUUAGACUGAGACUGUCCCGUCGUCGUCUGCUGCUGUUCGGGCACUUCGAUUCGGAUCCCCCGUGGGCCCCUCGAGCGACAGGCGGCACCGAGGGAAUGACCGAGGGCAGCCCCUGAGAGCAGAGGGGCCGCACGCCGACGCACCGACCGCUGCUCCAGCCUCGGGCGGCCCGGAGACGGACGGCGCUUCCCCAGCUGCUGCCCUGAAUGCAAGGACUCCUCGGGACGUCGCUCCACCACCGG